GAAGCUUUGUGCACAGGCUAUUGUACAGGAUUAUGAGUUGCUUGUUGCUCGGGAGCAAGGAAAGUUGGUGGAGGCAACUAUUAGUUGACAAUUUUAACACCCAUAGAAUUGGAGGAUAACUUUUGCUACUUACUGAAUCNNNNNNNNNNNNNGAUUGUUAGUCACAAAAAUAUUCCAAAAGUUGUUCAUAUAUAUGCUACAGUUUGUAAAGCGCAUAAAAUGUCUAUCUUCUCUCGGUGAAAGCAUUUGGGUUCCCUCAUGAUAUCUGUGUCGCAUCAUUUGCGGUCAAGUGCACAGGAUUGGCUUAUACGAGAUCUCUGGAAGCACAUGUAGAGGAUAGAGGUGCUACUACUAAUAGAUGUUCUAUUGUUGGAAGAAAAUAGCAAAAAUGUAACCAUAAUGAAAAUCUGUUAAAUGGAUCCAUCAACAUGGAAUACAUUCCUAGUUUCCAUUUUCC
rnacentral:misc_RNA from 1 species